UACGUAGGGGGCAAGCGUUGUUCGGAUUCACUGGGCGUAAAGGGUGCGUAGGUGGUUGGGUAAGUCUGAUGUGAAAUCUCCGGGCUCAACCCGGAAAUGGCAUUGGAAACUACUCGACUCGAGGAUUGGAGGGGGGGGACUGGAAUACUUGGUGUAGCAGUGAAAUGCGUAGAUAUCAAGUGGAACACCAGUGGCGAAGGCGAGUCCCUGGACAACUCCUGACACUGAGGCACGAAAGCUAGGGGAGCAAACAGG
rnacentral:rRNA from 1 species